rnacentral:misc_RNA from 1 species
GAAAACGAAAAAACCGCCUUGGCGGGCGGUUUUUCGAAGGUUCAUAGAGUUGGCGCUCUUUGAACCGAGGUAACUGGCUUUGAGGAGCACAGUCGCCAAAACUUGUUCUUUCAGUUUAGCCUUAUCAGGUGCAUAACUUCAAGACUCAACUCCUCUAAAUCAGUUACCAAUGGCUGCUGCCAGUGGCGUUAAGUCGUGUCUUUCCGGGUUGGACUCAAGACGAUAGUUACCGGAUAAGGCGCAGCGGUCGGGCUGAACGGGGGGUUCGUGCACACAGCCCAGCUUGGAGCGAACGACCUACACCGAACUGAGAUACCAACAGCGUGAGCUAUGAGAAAGCGCCACGCUUCCCGAAGGGAGAAAGGCGGACAGGUAUCCGGUAAGCGGCAGGGUCGGAACAGGAGAGCGCACGAGGGAGCUUCCAGGGGGAAACGCCUGGUAUCUUUAUAGUCCUGUCGGGUUUCGCCACCUCUGACUUGAGCGUCGAUUUUUGUGAUGCUCGUCAGGGGGGCGGAGCCUAUGGAAAA